ensembl:snoRNA Gm23338 predicted gene, 23338
GGCAUGCGGGGUUGGACAGGUGCAAAAGACAGGUUCUUUUGCAACCCAGAACUCAUUGUUCAAUAUGAGUUUUGAUACAUACAAGAAGGAAGACA